CUCACGCUAAUUAUUGGUGAGGGCGGCCAAUACAAAUGUGUGUGUGUGUGUGUGUGUGUGUGUGUGUAUGUAUAUAUAUAUAUAUAUAUAUAUAUAUAUAUUUGUAUUGGCCACCCUCACCAAUAAUUAGUGUGAG